CAUACACUCUAAUGAUCAUUGAAGCACAAAAACUUCAUAUACCAAAUAUCCUCAAAUAGAAAAUAAUAGGUUGACAUGUUUGAUGUCUUUAAAUACACAAAAACAGUUCAGCAGCAUUAUUAAACAUGUUAUAUUGUAGACAUGUACGUUUUCUUUCUGUACUUUAACACAUCACUGACUGUAGUUUGUGGUCACACUUCAUAGAUGUUAUUGGAGGGAAGUUAAAUAGUGUGUAACAUCUAUGUUUAUAGAUAACCUGCCAUUUUUACACACUAUUUUAUACAACACAAAUAACAUAUUUGUUUCUUUAUAUUAAAGUUGCUGAAAGUUCUUCAAGGGUCUUGUCCAGUUUAACCCUUUCAUGUCAUCUCUCCAUCUCUCCCCCCUCAUCUUCUCUCUCCGAGUGGGUGUGGUACGUCCCUCCCUGACCGUCCUACUUCCCUCCAGUGAGGAGCAGGACCAGGGGAAUGUGGCCCUAGUGUGCCUGGCCAACAGGGGCUUCCCGGAGGGCUGGAAGCUGGGUUGGAGGCUGGGGGCCGGGGGGCCCUUGCAGGGCAGCCAGAGUCUGGAGGUCCUGGAGAAGGACGGUCACUACAGCUGGAGCAGCAGCCUCACCCUCCCCACUGACCAGUGGAGGAAGGCUGGCUCAGUCACCUGUGAGGCCACCCUAAAGGACCAGACCCCCGUCACUCGCACACUGGAGCCACUGCUCCCAGUAGACACCCUGUACACAGAGAACACCUACCCAUCUGUCAUUCUAUCAUUCUAGAUAUAUAUCUAGAGCUUCAGCUUUGGUCAUCAAUCUGGGAUUCUGCAUCAUGAAAUCUGUACGUGUGUUUCAUCGCUUCUGAUUUCAGAUUGGAGAUGUUAACAAAAUAAAAUACUUUGUAUU